rnacentral:lncRNA from 1 species
UUAGAUGCAUUAUUUUCCUGGUGAAUAUUAAAAGUUGCUUAAUUUUCUAUCACUGUUUCUACACGUCCUUGAAACAGACUACCCUGCAGUGAGUCCAGAUGUUUCUACAGUCACUUUCCACCCCCCUCCCACCUAGGCUGGCUUUGAGUCCUCAGCUGCACUUCAUUGUUUCCUACAGCAUGGAACGAUAUGCAAUGAAAAUAAAAAGAGGUGACUCCCAGGAUAGAAUGCUGGUAUCCCAGCUGUACAAUGGAAUGCAUUCAAGCCAAAAUGUACAGAUCCUGAGUUAAGACAGAACUCUACCAGGAAAAAGAUGACACGUUCUCAGUGUCCAGGAAGUACAUUGAUAUUCAAGAAUCACAUCUUUGAAAACUUCAAGGCAGAAAGAAAUAGAAAGGCAGUAAGUAUCUGUUUAUAGUAAUCUCCAUAAAAAUAGAAUUGUG